CCUACGGGUGGCAGCAGUGGGGAAUAUUGGGCAAUGGAGGAAACUCUGACCCAGCAACGCCGCGUGAAGGAUGAAGGUUUUCGGAUUGUAAACUUCUGUCGCGAGGGACGAAGAAUGACGGUACCUCGUAAGAAAGCCCCGGCUAACUACGUGCCAGCAGCCGCGGUAAUACGUAGGGGGCAAGCGUUAUCCGGAUUUACUGGGUGUAAAGGGAGCGUAGACGGUCCUGCAAGCCAGAUGUGAAAGCCCGGGGCUCAACCCCGGGACUGCAUUUGGAACUGUAAGGCUAGAGUGUCGGAGAGGCAGGCGGAAUUCCUAGUGUAGCGGUGAAAUGCGUAGAUAUUAGGAGGAACACCAGUGGCGAAGGCGGCCUGCUGGACGAUGACUGACGUUGAGGCUCGAAAGCGUGGGGAGCAAACAGGAUUAGAUACCCCAGUAGUC
rnacentral:rRNA from 1 species